AAUAUAUACAGGUAAAAUGUGUCUGUGUGUGUCUGUGUGUGUGUGUGUGUGUGUGUGUCCACCUGGAUGUUCCCGUGUUUGGCUCCUGGGAUGAUCUGAAUCCUCUCAAAGUCCCUCCCCAGGAUGAUGACGUCACAGUCAGAGAAGUACGCCUGUCCCACGAGCCCCGGACAAAACAACACACACAGUCUGACACUGAUAAUCACACAGAGUUCUACAUAUCAUCUGAAUCUAAUGUUUUGCUACAUUUCUAUUUAUUUUUUUAAAUCGAGGAAUCAGAGUUUUAAAUGUUUUCAUUUACGGUUAAUAAUCUCUUUAACACGAACAGCUUGAAUCAUCUGGACUUUUUGAGUCAAAUAUUUUGGCAAAGAUUUUUUGCAUUUGUUAAAAUAUUAUUUCUUAACAUAUCAGACAAUAUCUGCCUUCAUUUUGCAUGCAUCUUGUUUAUUCUCGCUUAUAAACUUUUUGUUGAUUUUGUUGUGUUGUUUUUUAUCCUCAUUUGUAAGUCGCUUUGGAUAAAAGCGUCUGCUAAAUGAAUAAAUGUAAAUGUAAACUUAUCAAAUUAUGGUUUCGUUUCCUUACAUGAAUAUCGAAAUAUUCAACUCAAAUAAACACUUGUAUGAUGCAGUAUUAGAAUUAGAAUUUAAUUUGGGGUCCUGAAAUACCCUGAACACUGCACAGAGGUUAAUAUGACCAUUGCUACAUAAAUAAAAUAAAAAUUGAAACUCAUCCUAUAUUGUUUGAAUUUUCCCUUACUAAAUUAUAUAGUUACCGAUGCUAUGGACUGUGGGAUUACUAACAGACUAUUAAAAAAAAUCUGUCUCUUUUUUUCUUUAUUAAAAGUUGGUCUAGACAAGUACAUGAAUCAAAUGUUUUGCCGACUCGCUCCGAAGCCCCGAUCAAAUGAUUCGCGACACGCGCUUCGGAGUCCCGAUCUGAAUCAAAUGUUUUGCGCACUCGCUCCGAAGCCCCGAUCAUAUGAUUCGCGAAACGCGCUUCGGAGUCCCGAUCUGAAUCAAAUGUUUUGCCGACUCGCUCCGAAGCCCCGAUCAAAUGAUUCGCGAAACGCGCUUCGGAGUCCCGAUCUGAAUCAAAUGUUUUGCCGACUCGCUCCAAGAUCUCAAGUUAUUUUCCAGUGAAAGCGCUAUAGCGUUCAUUCGCUUGCCGAAAAAUGGCGGAGACCAAAAGUAUUCAGAUGUGUUGUGUAUAGUGUGCCUUUGUGUUCUAAUUCAAAUAAAAUAAAAUAAAACUUAUUUAUCAUUUCAUAGUUUUCCCACCGACGAAAAUAAAAAAAGCAUUGAAAUUGGGCGACGACAGGAGGAGGCGACAAUUACUGUUUGCGUGGAAAAGUUUGUGGUGCAGAGCAGUAAAUGUGGAGAUGUGCAGGAGCACGAUUACAACAGCCGUCCAGUCCCAGUGUUCUUGCUGAGGCAUGGGAAAAAUAAAGGAGCUGGAAAAAACACCUGCUAGUGACAUCAAUUCAAUUCAAGUUUAUUUGUAUAGCGCUUUUUACAAUACAAAUCUUUACAAAGCAACUUUACAGAAAAUUGUGUUUCUACAAUAUUUAGUAAUAUCUUAUAAGUGGUGACUGUCAGUUUGUGCACGUAUGACAGGAUUUGUAGGAAAAUUAAUACAAGUCGUAGUCAGCCAGAUGAUGAACAUUUUUUAAUAUUAUUAAUAAUUAAUAUAUGAUGCAGUCACACUUGUAGCAAUAUUUGUUAGUUCUGUUGUUGAUUCAGGGUCAGCAUCAUCUGGGGUCCUCUGAGGGUCAGCAUCAUCUCUUCUCAGGUGUUCUGGAUCCAGACUGGAGCUUGUGUAAAUCCUAGUUACCACGGGAUGAAGAUCCCAGCAGAAACAGAGAAACACAUAGAGACAUCAUUAGCAUAGCUGCUGAUCCGACAGAGUAAAAUUAUUUUAACCCAAGCUAAUGAAUAAAAAUGCACAUUUGAUCAGAUGCAACUGCAGUCACAAUUUAAGAGAUACAUUAUUUGAAUGCUUGGCGAAAGAGAUGUGUUUUUAAUCUAGAUUUAAACAGAGAGAGUGUGUCUGAACCCCGAACAUUAUCAGGAAGGCUAUUCCAGAGUUCGGGAGCCAAACGUGAAAAAGCUCUACCUCUAGUGGACUUUGCUAUCCUAGGAACGACCAAAAGUCCAGCGUUUUGUGACCUUAGGGAGCGUGAUGGGUUGUAACGUGGUAGAAGGAUAGUUAGGUACGCAAGAGCUAAACCAUUUAGGGCCUUAUAGGUAAGUAAUGAUAAUUUGUAACUGAUACAGAACUUAAUAGGUAGCCAGUGCAGAGACUGUAAAAUUGGGGUAAUAUGAUCAUAUUUUCUUGAGCUGGUAAGGACUCUAGCUGCUGCAUUUUGGACGACCUGUAGCUUGUUUAUUGACGAAGCAGGACAACCACCUAGAAGUGCAUUACAAUAGUCCAGUCUAGAGGUCAUGAAUGCAUGAACUAGCUUUUCUGCAUCAGAAACAGAUAACAUGUUUCGUAGCUUGGCAAUGUUUCUAAGAUGGAAGAAUGCAGUUUUUGUAACAUGGGAAAUAUGAUUUUCAAAAGACAAAUUGCUGUCUAAUAUAACACCCAGAUUUCUGACUGUAGAGGAAGUAACAGUACAUCCGUCUAGUUGCAGAUUGUAAUCUACAAGAUUCUGUGUAGUGUUUUUUGGUCCAAUAAUUAAUAUCUCUGUUUUAUCCGAAUUUAAUUGGAGAAAAUUGUUUGUCAUCCAAUCUUUAACAUUUUUAACACACUCUGUUAGCUUAGAUAAUUGAGAAGUUUCAUCUGGUCUCGUUGAGAUAUAUAGCUGAGUAUCAUCAGCAUAACAGUGGAAGCUAAUUCCGUAUUUUCUAAUAAUAUUACCAAGGGGCAACAUGUAUAUUGAAAAUAGAAGGGGACCUAGGACGGAUCCUUGUGGCACUCCAUAUUUUACUGGUGAUAAAUGAGAUGACUCCCCAUUUAAAUAAACAAAAUGGUAGCGAUCGGACAGGUAGGAUCUAAACCAUCUUAGAGCCUGCCCUUGAAUACCUGUAUAGUUUUGUAAUCGAUCUAUGAGUAUGUCAUGAUCUAUGGUGUCGAAUGCAGCACUAAGAUCAAGUAAAACUAGAAAUGAGAUGCAGCCUUGGUCUGACGCAAGGAGCAAGUCAUUUGUAAUUUUAACAAGUGCAGUUUCUGUGCUAUGGUGGGGCCUAAAACCUGACAGAAAUUCUUCAUACAGAUCAUUUUUAUGCAGGUGCUCAAUUGAGCAGACACAACUUUUUCUAAAAUUUUAGACAUAAAUGGAAGAUUUGAAAUAGGCCUAUAAUUUGCCAGUACACUAGGAUCUAGUUUUGGUUUCUUAAUAAGAGGCUUGAUAACCGCCAGCUUGAAUGGUUUUGGGACGUGACCUAAAGAUAACGACGAGUUUAUGAUAUUGAGAAGCGGUUCUUCGGCUACAGGUAACAACUCUUUCAGUAAUUUAGUGGGUACAGGAUCUAAUAAACAUGUUGUUGGUUUAGAUACAGUGAUAAGUUUAUUUAGCUCUUCCUGUCCUAUGGUUGUAAAGCACUGCAGUUUAUCUUUGGGUGCGAUGGAUGAAACUGAAGUGUUAGACGCUGUAGAAUCUACAUUCGCUAUUGUAUUUCUAAUGUUAUCUAUUUCAUCAGUGAAGAAAUUCAUAAAGUCAUUACUAUUUAACGUUGGUGGAAUAUUUGAAUCAGGUGGCGUCUGGUAAUUUGUUAACUUAGCCACUGUGCUAAAUAAAAACCUUGGAUUGUUUUGGUUAUUUUCAAUGAGUUUGUGGAUAUGCUCUGCCCUAGCAGUUUUUAGAGCUUGUCUAUAGCUGGACAUACUGUUUUUCUAUGCAAUUAUAAAAACUUCCAAGUUAGUUUUUCAGUUAGCAAGAGCAAGAGAUACAUCAGAUUUCUUUUGCAUGUCUGACAGAGUAACAUUUAGCAGAAGUAUUUCAAAAGAGUUAAACCUGUAUCCUGUUUUCUGGGUAACAUUGAGAAUAUCACUAUAUAUUGUUGACCAGUCUGACGGGGCUCAUGCUUAUAACAGUAGUUUGGUGGAGUAGACUCAUUUAGACCUAAAUAAUCAUUUGGUUUUAGCCAGGUUUCAGUCAAGCAGAGUACAUCAAAACUAUUAUCUGUGAUCAUUUCAUUUACAAUAACUGCUUUGGGUGUAGUGAUGUGUGAUAGUGAUGUGUAUUCUCAGUCCAAAUUGAUUGCACAUCAUCUAAUUUAAUGAAUUUCUGUUAAUAACCC